rnacentral:rRNA from 1 species
UACGUAGGGUGCGAGCGUUGUCCGGAAUUAUUGGGCGUAAAGAGCUCGUAGGCGGUCUGUCGCGUCGAAUGUGAAAACCCGAGGCUCAACUCCGGGCUUGCAUUCGAUACGGGCAGGCCAGAGUUCGGUAGGGGAGUCUGGAAUUCCUGGUGUAGCGGUGAAAUGCGCAGAUAUCAGGAGGAACACCGGUGGCGAAGGCGGGACUCUGGGCCGAUACUGACGCUGAGGAGCGAAAGCGUGGGGAGCGAACAGG